rnacentral:rRNA from 1 species
CACGUAGGGUGCGAGCGUUGUCCGGAAUUAUUGGGCGUAAAGAGCUCGUAGGCGGUGUGUCGCGUCGGCCGUGAAAACCUGCAGCUUAACUGUGGGCUUGCGGUCGAUACGGGCAUCACUGGAGUUCGGCAGGGGAGACUGGAAUUCCUGGUGUAGCGGUGAAAUGCGCAGAUAUCAGGAGGAACACCGGUGGCGAAGGCGGUUCUCUGGGACGGUACUGACGCUGAGACGCGAAAGCGUGGGGAGCGAACAGG